rnacentral:rRNA from 1 species
UACGUAGGGGGCAAGCGUUGUCCGGAAUCAUUGGGCGUAAAGAGCGUGUAGGCGGCCCGGUAAGUCCGCUGUGAAAGUCCAGGGCUCAACCCUCGGAUGCCGGUGGAUACUGUCGGGCUUGAGUACGGAAGAGGCGAGUGGAAUUCCUGGUGUAGCGGUGAAAUGCGCAGAUAUCAGGAGGAACACCAAUUGCGAAGGCAGCUCGCUGGGACGUUACUGACGCUGAGACGCGAAAGCGUGGGGAGCAAACAGG